rnacentral:rRNA from 1 species
GACGAACGCUGGCGGCGUGCUUAACACAUGCAAGUCGAACGGAAAGGCCCUUCGGGGUCCUCGAGUGGCGAACGGGUGAGUAACACGUGGGUGAUCUGCCCUGCACUUUGGGAUAAGCCUGGGAAACUGGGUCUAAUACCGAAUAGGACCACGCGCUUCAUGGUGUGUGGUGGAAAGCUUUUGCGGUGUGGGGUGGGCCCGCGGCCUAUCAGCUUGUUGGUGGGGUAAUGGCCUACCAAGGCGACGACGGGUAGCCGGCCUGAGAGGGUGACCGGCCACACUGGGACUGAGAUACGGCCCAGACUCCUACGGGAGGCAGCAGUGGGGAAUAUUGCACAAUGGGCGCAAGCCUGAUGCAGCGACGCCGCGUGAGGGAUGACGGCCUUCGGGUUGUAAACCUCUUUCAAUAGGGACGAAGCGCAAGUGACGGUACCUAUAGAAGAAGCACCGGCCAACUACGUG